rnacentral:rRNA from 1 species
GACGUAGGAGGCGAGCGUUAUCCGGAUUCACUGGGCGUAAAGCGCAUGUAGGCGGAUGUCUAAGUCGUGUGUUAAAGCCCCUGGCUCAACUGGGGGAGGUCAUGCGAGACUGGAUGACUUGAGGGCAACAGAGGCACGUGGAACUCCCGGUGUAGCGGUGGAAUGCGUAGAGAUCGGGAAGAACACCCGUGGCGAAGGCGGCGUGCUGGGUUGCAACUGACGCUGAGGAGCGAAAGCAUGGGGAGCAACCAGG